rnacentral:rRNA from 1 species
UACGAAGGGGGCUAGCGUUGCUCGGAUUGACUGGGCGUAAAGGGCGCGUAGGCGGUUCGUACAGUCAGACGUGAAAUUCCUGGGCUCAACCUGGAGGGGUCAUUCGAUACUGCCGUGACUAGAGUUCGGUAGGGGAGUGUGGAAUUCCUGGUGGAGCGGUGAAAUGCGCAGAUAUCAGGAGGAACACCCGUAGCGAAGGCGGCACUCUGGGCCGAUACUGACACUGAGGAGCGAAAGCGUGGGGAGCGAACAGG